rnacentral:misc_RNA from 1 species
AAUCAUUUGAAUCUCCCACGCAACAAUCUCAAACUGAAAUAGCUAAUACUCAUCAAAUUAUAGAAAUCAUAUGAUAUCAUUUUCUUUUACUGUGACUAAGGUCAUAAUGAUAAGUGAAUAAUGAUACUACAUUCUCUACCAUGCUGCUAAACCAAUACUCUGAGCAUCCAAACAAAUGCUAAGCCGGUAACAUCGGAAGGUAACAUCAGUAAAAUCUUCCGAGAAGUAUCGAUAAUCUGAAUCAGAUAUAUCUACUUCUG